rnacentral:rRNA from 1 species
GACGAACGCUGGCGGCGUGCUUAACACAUGCAAGUCGAACGGAAAGGCCUCUUUCGGGGGGUACUCGAGUGGCGAACGGGUGAGUAACACGUUAGUAACCUGCCCUUGACUUUGGGAUAACUUCAGGAAACUGGGGCUAAUACCGGAUAGGAGCUCCUGCUGCAUGGUGGGGGUUGGAAAGUUUCGGCGGUUGGGGAUGGACUCGCGGCUUAUCAGCUUGUUGGUGGGGUAGUGGCUUACCAAGGCUUUGACGGGUAGCCGGCCUGAGAGGGUGACCGGCCACAUUGGGACUGAGAUACGGCCCAGACUCCUACGGGAGGCAGCAGUGGGGAAUAUUGCACAAUGGGUGGAAGCCUGAUGCAGCAACGCCGUGUGCGGGAUGACGGCCUUCGGGUUGUAAACCGCUUUCGCUCAUGACGAAGCUUUGUGUGACGGUAGUGGGUAAAGAAGCACCGGCUAACUACGUG